AAUAUCUAUUAAUUAGAUCACUUUUGUCAUUACAGGGAGGAGAUGAACAUUACACUACCUGACAUUGUUGCAAACUUGUCACUUCCUAUUGAUCACAAAAGAGUCAGCAGGUUCAACAUCUCAAGAGCUAAUGUUUGGGAUGGAGCAGUCAGAGGUUUCAAGCGUACAACAUAUUCUGAAACCUGUGAUAUACUGGUCAGAUAUACUGAUGAUGCUGGAGUUCCUGAGGAGGGAAUUGACACAGGUGGUCCAAGACGAGAGUUUUUAACUCUGCUAAUGAAACACCUGAAAGACCGGCCCAUUUUUGAUGGACCAGAAGGACAUCGGUUCUUGGUCUACAAUGCAAAUGCUGUUAGGGAGGAUGAAUACUACCUGGCAGGAAAGAUGAUCGCAGUGUCAGUUGUACAUGGAGGUCCAGGACCCCAUUUCCUGUCAGAAGAUCUUGUACAUUAUCUUGCCGGCCAGCCUUCGUUCAAAUCAACAGUUAAUUUAAUAACUGAUGAAGAAAUAGGGAAAGCUUUGCAAGAGAUUGAGAAUGCUGCUUCAUUGGAUGCUCUACAGGAAUGCAUCAUGAGACACAGCACAAUGUUACAGACAGCAGGUUGUCUGAGACGUGUCUGCUGUGGAAGAAAAGAAAGAAAUCGUGGCAGACUACCUGCGAUGGUAUAUUAUAGACCGCAACUCAUCUGUAAUUGACAGAUUUAAAGAUGGUCUUUCAGCCCUUCAGUUUUUGACUGCACUACAGCAACACCCUACUUUGCUGGCCCCUGUCCUGUGCCACUCUGAAAAGCAACUCACUGGCUUCGAACUUGAGAGACUCUUCAAACCUGACCUCAGUCCUUCAGGGAGUAACAGGAGACUAAAAGAAAGUCAAGCCUUGGCCUACUGGGCAGACUAUCUCCUUGAUUGUGAAGAAGGUCAGGCUGCUGUGUCUGUGGAGGAUGUUUUGAUGUUUGCAACUGGGCUGACAUCACUUCCCCCAUCUGGCUUGGAACCAUUGCCACGGAUAGAGUUCCUGGAUGACUCUCCAUUCCCAAUGGCAAAUACGUGUUCAAACUUGUUGAAAUUACCACUCCUAGACUCAUACAGUGUGUUUAAGUCACACAUGGACUUUGGAAUUCAAAAUAGUCCAGGAUUUGGCUAUUUCUAAGCCAUAUGACUAGAUGACCCCUAGAGCCCAGACUUUAAAAAUGUGGUUUGUUCUUUGUUGUUAAAGGUGCACCUAAAGGUGCAGUCGCUGUUGUUAAAGGGGUUUUUAUCAUGUAAAGAUAUGUGAGU